rnacentral:lncRNA from 10 species
AUCACUGGCAGGGCAUCUCAUCCCUUUUCUCUAAGCCUUUUUUACCUAAUGGGUGACUGAGUCUCUCUGAACUUCAGGUUGGUGUAAUCAAAUACAAUGUUGGAUGUGCAGUAUUAUUAAACAGAUUAUUAAAAGCAGAAAUGAAUUUUCCAGGGCUUUAGGCUUGCCCUCUACGCUUACCUUACUGUAUAGGAGCCAAAGUUUGCUUUUCUGGGACUGUGAUCAAGGGCCUAGAAUGGAGCCAGGAUGAGCCACAGUCCCCUUAACUUCUCCACCCCUCUAGGUGUAGAGAGCAGCAUUUGUACAUCAGAUGGCUUCAGUGGCUUCUUUCAUUACACAUUCAUGUGGAUUCCACCUUUGCCUUGUUCAUUAGUGGCAUCAGCCCCUUCAUAAUCUUCUUUGUGAGUGGUCAGCUCACUUAGCCCUUCAACAGCUUUGUUCCAGAUGACAUGGAUAUGGAUAAGAAUGAGGAACUAUUGGUGCCUUUGGCCAUGCUUCCUCAAUGAGCUAAGUGGAGAUUCACAGCAAGUACCAGGACCUCUGUUUUCUUGGCAGAAGGGUCAGGACUGACCUGUGGUUCACAUGGUGCAGGUGUCUCUGGAGGAAAUCUAUCAUGGCUCCUCCAAGUGCAUGAAGAUCAUAAAGUGGUGACCCAACCCUGAUGGGAAAACUGUUGGGAUCGAGAGGAUAUUGUCAUCCCGCAUGGCUUCCCUUAGCAGGGCAUUGCCUUGUCUGACAACACCUAUGCAGAUAUCACUUUGAGUUCAAAGGUAAACCCAUUCACACUUUUGUUGGAAUGGAACCCAAGUGUUCCAUGUUAACCUGAUCAGGCAAAAAGUCCCAGGGCUUGGAUUGGGUUGUGUGUGUUUGGGAUCCAUGAUUAAGUAUGAUGGGAACAUUCCUGUUCCUUUCCAUCUGCCUUAUUCGUUCUCCUUUUCAUCCCUUUUCCUUUUUUUCCCACUCAAGCACCUAUCAAGCUUUCUCUCACUCUCUCCCAUUUUUCUCCAGGUCUGUGUGGCUGCACCAUGAGUACUUCCACCAUGGAAGGGCAGGUGAUCCCUUUGUCUUGCAUGAAAUCAUCAAGAAGGUACCAUGGAAUGACUCUGUGAGGAGCAUUCCCCUGAGAAGAUUCCCACCUGGGCCAGGGGCACUAUUCAAUCCACUGUAGCAUGGGAAGCCCUGAUAAAAAGGGACUCAGGACAAGUAAGUACCCAAUGGAAGGGAUGGUAAAAAGAGAGAUUUGAAAGGUAGGAUGAGAACACUAGGCUGGAAAUGGGGAAUGGGUUGGAGAUAGAAGGAGAAAUUCUUUCUUUCUUUUUUUGUUUUUUUGUUUUUGUUUUUAAGACAGGGUCUCACUCUGUCACCCAGGCUGGAGUGCAAUGGCGUGAUCUCGGCUCACUGCAACCUCUGCCUCCUGGAUUCAAGCAAUCCUCAGCCUCCCAAGUAGCUGGGAUUACAGGCGUGUGCCACCAUGCCCAGCUUAUUUUUUUGUAUUUUUAGAAGAGAUGGGGUUUCACCAUCUUGUCUGGUUUCAAACUCCUGACCUCAAAAUGAUCUGCCUGCUUUGGCCUCCCCAAGUGCUGGGAUUAUAGGCAUGAGCCACCACACCUGGACUGGAGAAAUUAUUUCCAUUUUACUGAUGAGCAUUCUAAAAGGGAAAUUGAUAAUGCUUGAAGAACUUUGCGUGUGGGCUCUCCGUGCAAGGGAUUCUUUGGCCUGAGAAAUCACUGGCGCUCAUGCUGUUGGUGCCAUAAGAGAAUCUGGGAAUGUGACUAGGACCGAACCAUUUUGUGCGUGUUUUUUUCUGGCUCUUUAUUCACUUGUCUAUUCAUCCAUCCAUUCAGUAAACAUUUAUUGAGCACCUUCUUUGUUCCUGGAACAUAGAAGGCUACCUCCUUCUCAGGUGCGUUGUUGGGAUGUUCUGUCCCUGUUUGCAUCCAGCAUUGGGCUGGCAGUUUGGUGGAGUUGCAUGUGGUCAAGUCAGUCACUAAGAUUACAAUCAAGUAGAGUCAAAACUGCCUUAGAAAACUUCUGAAAACAUCUAUAAAGUACACCAAAAUGUGUUUCUCUAAUCUGAAUAAGGGCUUCAGACACAAUAAACAAUCGCAGGAUGGAGAUGACUGAGGAACACGAUGAAGCACGUCCUAGGAUGAUAAUUGGUUUUCUCUUCUAACAUUAUUCAAAUUUUUAUUUUCUUCCCUUUGCCACACUUACAGAAUUAAAGCUGUGAAAAUUAUAUACGUACUUCACAUGAUUCUGGUCUACUGCCGCACAAGGCUCUGGUGGAGAUGUAGCAACUGGAAUCUUUCAAAACUGUGCGAGCCAGAGGCAGCCAUAGGGACUUUACGGUUGCUUGUUUAUUCAGAAGUCACUGUUGUGUGGUUGAAAGAGACAUGGGCUACUUCUCUCUGCUUGAAACAGAAAAUUCCAUGAGAAACUCACACAACCUACAAGAGGCUGGGUUGCUUCGUGGUUCAUCUCAAUGAUGUCCUCACAAAGGAAACUCCAGUCAGGUAACCCUCAAAGCAUUGAAAACAAUGUAAUCUUUAUUGAAAUCUCAUGAAGCUGCACCAAAGAGGAAACCCAUACAUAGUAUAUUUUCUUAAAAUUCUGUCUCACAUUUCUUUUUUAAUAUUUCACACAUCACAGAUGGCAGUUAACUAAAAUUCCCACUUUUCAUCCCUUAACAUUUUGCAAAUCCUCCCAAAAUUAUUUGCACUCUGCCUCUUCUUUCUCCCCGUCCUCCUGCUGUUGGUGCCAUAAGAGAAUCUGGGAAUUCUCAAUUUUAUGCCCUUUUACAUGUAAAUCAAUCUAGAUGGCUGUAGUACUUUUUCAUUUUCUUGACCACUUUUUCCUCUUAUGAGGUCCAUAAAGCACAAAGUAAAUCUACGCCGAAAACUCUGGAAUUAACCAGGAUUUGAAUUGAGCAGUUUGAUUUUGCUACUUAGUAGCAAUGUGAUUUUGGAUAAAUUUCCUAAACUCUCUGAUUCUCUCUCUUUUUUUCUAAUUUGUAAAAUAAAACCGAUAAUACCAAAUUGGUAGAGAUGGUUUGAGCAUUAACUGAAAGAAUGUAUUUUCAGAUUCCUAUCACAAUGCUGGCCAUAUUAGGUGGUUUUAAAAAAAUGCUAGUCUUGGCCGGGCACGGUGGCUCACGCCUGUAAUCCUAGCACUUUGGGAGGCCGAGGCAGGCGGAUCACGAGGUCAGGAGAUCAAGACCAUCCUGGCUAACACAGUGAAACCCUGUCUCUACUAAAAAUGCAAAAAAUUAGCUGGGUGUGGCGGCAGGCGCCUGUAGUCCCAGCUACUUGGGAAGCUGAGGCAGGAGAAUGGCGUGAACCCGGGAGGCAGAGCUUGCAGUGAGCCAAGACUGCGCCAUAGCACUCCAGCCUGGGCGACUGAGCGAGACACUGUCUCAAAAAAAAAAAAAAAAAAAAAAAAUUGCUAGUCCUUUUCUUGUUCUUUUCUCUGUAGAAAGAUCUCCUUGUAGAGACAAAUCAUAAUCAAAGACUUUUUGGUUAACGUGGAAUGAGAUCAUGUGAAUUAGAGCACAUGUUGCUCUAAAGGCUCCAUGCUAAGAAUAACUGACAGAUCCAUGCUAUGGCGAAAAUUGUUUUGCAGUGGGAACUACGGCUAGGGGUCUGCCUCCCAUCAGGGAUUUAUUUUGGGAGGAAUUCCUAAAAUACAGGAAGAAUGUUCGAAUAGUAGCUGCCAGGAAAUUUCCAACAUCUGCUACACUAGGUCACUCUGAAUUGGUCUUUUUAGCUUCUUUCUGUAAUUUCCAUUUUGGGAAAUCAGGAGUUGUGACUCACAGUGGUAAAUCUCCACACGGUUGAAAUAUGCCUUAUUAGUACAAUCUAUUUUAGUAUUAUUAAUGCUAUGGCAUAAAUAUGUGCAGCAUUAGAAGUAGUCUAUUAGUGGAGGCUGUUUUUUGUUUACUUCCAUGUUGGCUUUACUGUCAAAAUAUAUGUUAUGUUAUUAUUGUUUUCCUUUUCUUCAUUUUCAUUACUACCUUUCUUGGUCCAAGCCAUCGCUAUCUCUUAUGUAGGUGAUGAGAUAGACCAUUAAGAAGUCUGGGACUCUUCCGCCCCUACACAGCAGCCUUGCCCUCCACAUAGCAGCCGGAGUGAUCUUUAUAAAACCACACAUGAGAACAUGUUCCUCCUCUGAUGGUUUCACACCACGUCUGGAAUAAAACUCUAACAUCCUACCCUGACCGAGUGGGCCCUAAGAGCUGCCCUUGCCUCUCUGAGCACAUCUACUCCCUCGCUCAUGCUAGGUCGGCCUUCAUCAGUACCUUUGACCAUGUGUUCCCUCUGCUUUGAUCUCUUCCCAUCUAUUCUUACAGGACUGGCUUCUUCUUGCCAUUCAGGUCUCAGUAUCUCCCCAGACGGGCUCCCAGCCCCUUAAUCUAACAUAGACCUCAUCCUACUCCAAUCAUUAUCAUUCUGCUUUUCCUUCGUAGAGUGUGCUACUCUCUGACAUUUUGAAUUGUUUAUUUGUUUUAUUGCUUUUUGUCUGUGUACAGGAGAAAAGAUUUCUUUUCUUAUUCAUUGUAAAGUUUAUGGCAAAAGACAGAGUAAUAAGCAAAAAGCUUGCAAACGCGUUCCAUGUAAAUCUUAAGUGGCAUGUUAGCCUUCAGAAGCAAAGCCCCAAAGACCCAGGGAAAACUGUAUUUUUAUGGACAGCCAUACAGAAGUAUAAUUGAAGGAUAAAAUGGUCUGAUCCAAUGGUAAUAAACUGGGAGAAAUGUAGUAAGACCUGUUUGUUCAGUUUCUUCUGUGUGGGCACCUGCCACAUGAGAGUCUUCGGGGGAGAAGGAACAGAGGAGGUCAGAGAGUGACGAUCCUGGGUUUUACGGUCUGCUUCACGGGAGGAAGGCCUGAGAGAAGGUCAGAGAAACCUUCCUACUUCUGCUGUGUUUUCAGUUUCCAAGGUGUCAUAUUUUGGGGUAUCACACCUGAAGUCUCUGUGAAACCCAGGUCUGUGUGCCUGUCCAGUGCCUGGGACAUAACAGGAGCUUAAAAAGCAUUAUCCCCACAUACGGGGAUUUGCCAUAGACCUGUUUGUGAAAACCAAACAAAUCCUUAAUUCCUC